GUACAGACAUGUUUUCCACCGCGUGGAAAUCCUUCAACCACGAAAAACAGAAUGGGGAAACCUUAGCGCCAGAAGAAUCAUCAUGCUCUCUCUGUCAUCGAUAACAACCUUCAUUCUUCACCCUCGUCACUCGUCAUUUCUGCUUACCACGCCUCCCCUUCAAAACUUGACAAAUUUGAUUUGAAGCUGGGGAAGGAGCAUCGGGUUUAGAUUAACGCAAUGCUGCAACAAGAGCCAAAUCUCAUUCAGCAUUCCAUACGUACAGAAGAUCUGGUGAGGUUGAGGAGUACGCUGGAUGGUACCUGGUCCUGGCCAGUGGCGAAACGGCGGAACCUCGUGUGCCUCAGAUUGAAGGGUUGGAGAGUUUCAAUGGAAAAGUGAUUCACUCAACCGGUUACAACAACGGCAAGGAGUUUAAGGAUAAACUUGUUCUUGUUGUUGGAUCUGGGAAUUCCGGCAUGGAGAUUGCGCUCGACUUGUCCAAUUUUGGUGCCAAACCUUCCAUCAUUGUUCGCAGCCCGAUAGGUACUUUGAUUUCUUUUUAGGCUUCAUAAUAAGAUUAUUAUGAUCGAUGUUUAUGUGUGCAUGUAUGUUCAUUUUCUUUCGAGGGAUAUGAUGUAUUAUGCGUCUCUUAUGCUGAGUUACUUGUCGCUGUAUGGAGAUCUGAGUGAGUGACCUUUCACCAUGAAGAUGAAACCAUCGACGUGGGAACUGUCAAGAAAAUCAAAUCUCGAGAGAUACAGGUGUUGCCAGCGGAAAUAGAUCGAAAAGUAUCAGAGGUGAUGAAGUUUUGUUCCGAGAUGGCAAAUCACGCCCAUUCGACUCAAUUGUUUUCUGCACACGCUUCAAGAGAUCAACUCAAAAGUGGCUUCAGGGGGUGAUGAUCUUCUAAAUAUAAUGAGAAUGGCUUUCCAAAGUCCAGUUUCCCAAAUCAUUGGAAAGGUCGAAACGGUUUGAAUUGUGUUGGGCUGUCGAGAAGGGGUUUCUUUGGGGCUAACAUGGAUGCCGAAUUAAGUAGCAAAUGAUAUUGCGUGGUUAAUUCCUCAAGAAGAAAGAGAAGGAAUUUGAGUCAUGUAAUUGUAUAUCUAUUAUGUGCGGGUAGAUUAUAAAUUUGGUUGCAGAAACAGUACAUGACACAUUUUUCUUUCUUUUGGGGGUAUGAAUCAGGUAUGUUGUUCAAAAUGCAAGGAGGCAAUAUAAUUGGCUGUACAUGAGGAAUGGCCUCAACCCAACAAUAGUAAGGAAUAUUCCAUGGAACUACGCGAGCUAGCUCCUGGGUAAACGGUACCUACUGCAUAUAUAAGUCAUUGAUCCUGAAAGUAGGCAAAAAGAGUUCUGACUGGUGGAGAGUUCUAGCCAACAAGGAUGCCGAGGGAAGUAUCAUCGUGUGAAGUGUCGUAGUGUGAGUGUCACCAAGAAAUUGAAAAUCAGGGAUGUUUUACAGAUAUUGGUCUCAACACCAUUGCUAAUGGCCCUUACCAAGUGGCUAUAUUUUUUUUUUUCCAGAAAAUGCUCUUUUCUCAAAAACAUGUUUCAGAUGUAUAAUCACGUACAAAAUCCACAAUAGAAACCUUAUGUUCUAUUGUAGUAGAGAGGUUGCAAACAAAAUCUACAAUAGAAGUUUAUGUUAUAGAUUUUGUAUGCGGAAACACAUUUUUGUUGUUGAUUUUGUAUGCACCCCUUGUACUACAACAAAAAUAUGUUUUCAUUGUUGAUUUUGUAUGCACUAAAACAAAAUUGUAUUUUUGUUAUUAUAUAGGAAGUUCAUGCAAAAUGUAAACUAGAAACACAUUUUUGCGUAAAAAAUCAAUAACGAAAACGUGUUUCUGCAUACAAAAUUUACAAUGAAAAUAAGUUUUGGUCAUAAAUUUUAUAUACAUCCCUUGUACUAUACAAUGGAAUCAUCAUUCUCUCCCAUCUUAAUACAAAGGAGGAGAAGAGAAAGCGGUGGUGGGGUUUGAACCGAGGGAUAAAAAAGUCUUUUCUGUGGGUUUUUAAAAUUGAUAAGGACCAAUAACAAAGGUUGUAGGAGCCAAUAACAACUCCCUAAAUUGAUAUCAAAGAUUAACAAGUUUGUGGACUUCGUUGACGUACAACGUGAAUUCGUUUAACGCCAUUCUUUAAUUUGCAUUGAUUAAUUGACUUCCUCAGCUACCUUAAACAGGAACCCAACAACCUAUUCAAGCAAAAAAUGAAGGAGUAGGAAAAUAUAGCUCGAUGAUUUCGUCAAAUGUAUUAUUACAUCUGGAUCUGA